GACGAACGUUGGCGGCGUGCUUAAUACAUGCAAGUCAACUGAAGCAGUGGUAGCAAUAUCGCUGUGGAGGUGGCGCACGGGUGAGUAACACGUAGGUAAUCUGCCUUCAGGUCUGGCAUAACUCCGGGAAACCGGGGCUAAUAGCAGAUGAUGCAGCGGCUCGACAUCGAGACAGUUGUUAAAGCUAUGGCGCCUGAAGAUGAGCCUGCGUCUGAUUAGCUAGUUGGCGGGGUAACGGCCCACCAAGGCAACGAUCAGUAGCUGGUCUGAGAGGAUGAUCAGCCACACUGGAACUGAGACACGGUCCAGACUCCUACGGGAGGCAGCAGUAAGGAAUAUUGCUCAAUGGGAGAAAUCCUGAAGCAGCAACGCCGCGUGAGGGACGAAGGGCUUCUGCUUGUAAACCUCUGUAGUGAGAGAAAAAAAUCCCAAUCUUUGGGACAUGAUGGUAUCUCAAAAGUAAGCCCCGGCUAACUACGUG
rnacentral:rRNA from 1 species